UUAAUUUGGCCCCAGCAUGUAAAAUAUUGUUGGGACAGUAAAAUAUUCAGAUUUGUGGUAGGAGCAUAACAUCUCCUUAAUUUGGACCUAUCAUGUAGAUCGUAGUGUAAUAAAGCUCACAUAUCUAACCUUUUGGUUUAGUAAGGUUUGAUUUUUUUAUUUAAGACCAAUAUAUAUUUUGUUUGAAUCCAUAUUUUCCAAGGUAUUUCGCACAAAAGAAUCAUUUAUAUAGAACCCUAAAUUUUGGUCAUCUAAUAGGUUCAAAAUGACUUUUUUUCCUGAACCUGAACUGACAACCGUUCUUGCUUUCAGGUUUCAGACUUUCAAAUUACUAUCUGAAAAUAAUAAAUUAUUGUCUCGAAAUACCUUCGAUGCGUAUCCAAGAGGUCUUGUCGGCCAAUACAUGCACACCUUUUUUUGGGAUAUGGUAUGGAUGAUGGAGUUGGAUGCCCAGAAGUUGGGCUAGCUGCAUGAACACGGCCAAUGUGGCGAUGGCCGUUCCUCAGAAGAAGCAUCAACAAAAGGAGCUCGAACACAGCGUUGAUCGAGAGGAAAUAUCCUGCUGGUUAAGCUCCGUCUCCUCCAGCCGGAAGAUCCCGCCGUGCUCCUCGAGCCAGAGCUGCUGGGCCAACAGACCUGCCGAGAUCUCGCUAGGAAAACGGUAUGAUGGCUCUAGGUAUUUUCUAGAUUUUUUGUUCUUAUGUUUCAGUGAUUGUGGCAAGGAUGCAUGUCUUUCUUCGUUUUGGGUUGAUUCGUUGUUGUUUGUCUUUGUUCUUGCAAAAUUUAGCUUGUGCUUUUAAAUGGAACACUAAUGAUACCUCAGACUCACUGAU